ACCAAGUGCAGAUCAACAGUCAGUUUUAUCACUUUUAAUUUAAUUGUUUUUUUUCUUUUAUAAACAAAUGGUCACAUAAGGAGAAUCACACAGCAACAAAUAAAUAACUACAGUCUUUACUACGACUUACAGGACGACAGUGAUAUAAUGUUAUUCUCACUAGAAGAUUGAAGUGAAACUCAAACUGUGUUUCCUUGUAAAGUGUAAGUCAUUUAGAAAAACCUUGGGUUAAUAAAAGGAAAAUUUAUUAUCAAAUAAAAAAAAAAAAGUUUUUUUCGCAACUUUAUUCCCUUUUGUUUUCCAGGAUCUGAGGGUGACCUUUGAACCCCUCUCUAUGCUUUUUUAGUUUUGAUAACUAAAGAGUCUGAAACAAGCAUUUGGGUCUGAACUAAAGGUUUUUUGUCACUGGUUAUUAAACUUGACCUUAGGUUCAGUGUUUGACCGUGUCACCCAUUCAAACUCAGUUUUUCUUAACUAUAUCCUGGAUCUUUUAAAUUUAAAUUUCUGGUCAGGGUUGCUCAGAAUCAAUUUUCAAACAUUAAAGUAUACUUCACAUGAGAAAAAAAUAGCUUUUAUCUGCUGUCACAUAUUUUUUUUUCUUAAAUUCUAAUGUUCUUUCAGCUUUCUGAAAGCUAGUGUGUAUAGUCCUGGAGAAUAGUGACCAAAACACAGAGAUGUGUCUCAGAGUCAAAUUAUGUGAGGUAAUCAGACUGUCAAGGAUUGUGUGAGAAAUCCCGACACUUCUAAUUCAUAGUAAUAUUGUUUAAGAUCACCAAGUGCUCUCAGUAGAAAAACAAACUGUCCAAUAUGUCAACAGACACAACCUCGCUGUUUGCAGGUGAAGCCGAAUAAAGAGCCGAUGUGCUCAAAAAAACACGACAAGUGCUAUGCAACAUGAACCACUGUACAUGUUUAGCUCAUUGUGAAGAAGCCGCCGCAGCAGCAGAAGUGGUUAGCACUCCUGCAGUACACAGAGAAGUAAGACAAACCGCUGGUUUGAUUCUUGGGCUUUUUGUACAGAAUGUACAAAGGUUGGUGACUGUCUGCACUGACAUUGAAUUUUGUUAUGAACCUGGAACAUGAUUCAUCAGUUGUUUGAGUUGGAAUGAUAUUUAAAGCCUUUUCAGAGACAUUGUCUCCCACCACGGUGUUACCUGUGGGUGUGUGUAACAACACCAACUUAAAAUGUCUUUGUCUUUAUAUUAUUUUGUUCAUUUCAGCCCAUCGUGGUGCAACAUAGACCUGAUCUUCCAACAAAGGAGCCAAAAAACUGAAGUUGACUCCAGCACUACAAGAACUGAAUCACCACAGGCUGCUAUUCAUGUAUGAGUUCAAUGAACAUUUGCCCACACCUCACAGAGGUCAACAUCCUGGGUUUCUCCACCUACUACCUGAGGAGGCUUCAUCAAUGAGGAGCCAAACACCUUGUAACGUAAGUCCUGUUGCCACUGUCCCUCAUUUUGGAUACAUUUUCUCAUUUUUCACUAUUGUUAGCUCUUGACGACCUUGAACAAAGACAUUUGCUGAGAACACCGUGAUUCAUCUAUUAAAGUCGCGACUAUCUUCCUGUGGGGUUAAACGACUCACACAGGCUGACAUUCGGAGUGCCAUUCCUUGCCAGCAUGAACACUCAAGCUGCACUGGAGAAAGCCCUUUCUAGUGUUGCAUCUCCUUAAAGACAUUGCAGAUCGGAACGAAACAAAGAGAAGCCAAACGGUAGCGUACAAAGGAAAAUAGAGAAUUCAUCUUUUUCUUUGACAUUAAAAUAUAUCUGCAGUAUACAUCUGUUGUAGUGAGAGUCAGCAUUCACAUCGGGCAGAAACAGUCCCUGCUCAGAAGCCAGGAAGCCACAAAUAAAGUGCCAAGCAACUACUGGACAAACCAUUGCACAAAACAGAAGGAGAACAAAUUCAAAGAAAAAAACAAAACAGAAUUACACGUGAACCAGUCCAGACCCUGACAUGAUAGGAACGACAUAAAAACAAUCAAAUCCAAUGUCUGAAAACACACUGCACUUUAGCAUAGCUAGAUCAAGGUCCUGUACACAGCAUGGGAUAAGAAUCUGCUUUGUGUCCGUUAUGUCAUGCAGUCGACUGAGUAAUUCUUUAGCUCUCAGAUCCCAAGUCCCAAAAUGCAAUAAAUCAGCUUUUUCCACACACAGAAAAAAAUAAAAUAAAAAUUUGCCAUCGACCAAAACAACUUGUUUACAUAGCCUUGGAAAGGUGGUGCAUAUUCAGGAGAAGACAAAAGGGCAGUGGGGAAUCAACUGUUUAGCACAACACUGCAGAAAACAGAGGGGGGGAAAAAAACAACAACAAAAGAACAAAACAUCUAAGAAGCAGAAAGAGGAUGAGCCAGGGACCAGAAGUUCAGAUCAUUUGGCAACAGGCUGAAAGCACGGUACACUGCCACAGGUCAUUACAUUCUCCAAUCAUUCAUAGAGUACUGUUACACAGCAACGGAGUAAACAGAGCCACGUGUAACAGGAGUUUUACUGUCGUACAGGACAAACCCAUACAUGCAUCCCUUUAAACUUGGUGAUAGCUUGAUGUUACACAAAUCAAACCUGCAGAGUAAUAAUAGAAGGCCUUCACGUAGAGGUCAGUAUAGUCAUGCAUUUAGUUUCAGCUAUAGCGUAUCUACAAGGUCAGUGUUGACGAUGGUCUACUCGGAAGGAUGGGAGGAGAAGAUUUAAAAAAAAAAAAACCACCACUGGCGUCACUGGAUGUGGAUCAGUGACAUUUGACAUUUUUUUUGGAGAGAUAAAACCUCAGGGAUUAUUGACAGAAUGAAUGCUAUACACAGGUAGACUCAGUACUGAUGAACAAAAGAUGAACUUUCAGGAACACUGUGUAGGAUUUAGCAACAUCUGUUGCUGUUGCAGAUUCAUCUCACCACCCUGUAGUAAAUCUUUAGUUUACUACAGUUAUCAUUGCAGCUACAAACAUAUUGAGUUAGUUAACCGUGAACUUUAGUGGAACUACAAUGAUCCAGCUUUGAAAUAAACUAGAAAAACAAUGUUUCAAAGCUAAAAACAAAAGUACUUUUAGCUGAAUCUUAAACAGUGCACCUGGAAGUUUGCAUUGUUGGACCUUUUGAAAUGAAUUGUCAAUGAACAGAAACAAAGUGUUUUCUUCUUGAGCAGCAGGUCUUACAAACACACAACAGUCACUCAGAAGAAAAUAAAACACUGUAGACGGUUGACUUCAAGGUAGGUGAUUGUGAGAAACAAUGAACUGAAUAAGUGGAAACAGUAGGAUUGACUGAUUGACAGGAGAUAAAAAGGUAAAGGAAUAAAUUAACAAAAAAAGCUUUUCUAAAGCAAAGCUGGAUUUACGUUUCACUGUGAUAGAAAUUAUUUUAUAGGUUUGUGUAAUUUUUUUCUUGAUUGUCACCACUGGAACAAAAAUUGCACCCACCAGGUGGUGUUAUUUCUUCAAACAGUUCAUCCAACACUACAAAAACAAAGGUAUAUUUUUAAAAUGCUAAUCUGUGAAUAAACAUUGUAAAGCAGCUGCACCUCAAAACCCCUAUUACAGGGAAUUCAUUUUUCAUUAUUUCUGAAAUUCUUUGACACUAAGAUUUGUGUUUGGCUUUUGAAAAAAAUUAGAUUAAAAAAAAAAAAAA